UACGAGAGGACCGGAGUGGACGCAUCACUGGUGUUCGGGUUGUCAUGCCAAUGGCACUGCCCGGUAGCUAAAUGCGGAAGAGAUAAGUGCUGAAAGCAUCUAAGCACGAAACUUGCCCCGAGAUGAGUUCUCCCUGACUCCUUGAGAGUCCUGAAGGAACGUUGAAGACGACGACGUUGAUAGGCCGGGUGUGUAAGCGCAGCGAUGCGUUGAGCUAACCGGUACUAAUGAACCGUGAGGCUUAACCUUACAACGCCGAAGCUGUU
rnacentral:rRNA from 1 species